UGGGGAAUAUUGGACAAUGGGCGCAAGCCUGAUCCAGCAAUGCCGCGUGUGUGAAGAAGGCCUUCGGGUUGUAAAGCACUUUUAUCAGGAGCGAAACGCUGUCGGCUAAUACCCGGCGGAACUGACGGUACCUGAGGAAUAAGCACCGGCUAACUUCGUGCCAGCAGCCGCGGUAAUACGAAGGGUGCAAGCGUUAAUCGGAAUUACUGGGCGUAAAGCGUGCGUAGGCGGUUUCUUAAGUCUGCUGUGAAAUCCCCGGGCUCAACCUGGGAAUGGCAGUGGAUACUGGGAGGCUAGAGUGUGUCAGAGGGUGGUGGAAUUCCCGGUGUAGCGGUGAAAUGCGUGAGAUCGGGAGGAACAUCAGUGGCGAAGGCGGCCACCUGGGACAACACUGACGCUGAGGCACGAAAGCGUGGGGAGCAAACAGGAUUAGAUACCCUGGUAGUCCACGCCCUAAACGAUGCGAACUGGAUGUUGGUCUCAACUCGGAGAUCAGUGUCGAAGCUAACGCGUUAAGUUCGCCG
rnacentral:rRNA from 1 species